rnacentral:rRNA from 1 species
UACGUAGGAGGCGAGCGUUGUCCGGAAUUACUGGGCGUAAAGCGUGCGUAGGUGGUUUGUUAAGUCUGUUGUGAAAGCCCCGGGCUCAACCUGGGAAUGGCAAUGGAUACUGGCAAGCUAGAGUGCGGUAGAGGGUAGUGGAAUUCCCGGUGUAGCGGUGAAAUGCGUAGAGAUCGGGAGGAACACCAGUGGCGAAGGCGGCUACCUGGACCAGCACUGACACUGAGGCACGAAGCGUGGGAGCAAACAGG